rnacentral:rRNA from 1 species
GACGAACGCUGGCGGCGUGCCUAACACAUGCAAGUCGAACGGGGUGAAUUUCUUCGGAGGUUCACUUAGUGGCGAACGGGUGAGUAACGCGUGAGAAACCUGCCUUCCGGUGGGGGACAACAGUUGGAAACGACUGCUAAUACCGCAUAACACUUCUGAGGGGCAUCCUUUGGAAGUCAAAGCUUUAUGUGCCGGAAGAUGGUCUCGCGUCUGAUUAGCUAGAUGGCGGGGUAACGGCCCACCAUGGCGACGAUCAGUAGCCGGUCUGAGAGGAUGAACGGCCACAUUGGGACUGAGAUACGGCCCAG